CUGAUGUGGAUCCUGACUGACAUCAUGUCUGCUUUCCUCAUCGCUGCUAUUUUCAUCUUCCACUGGUGGCGUGAGCGAGGUUUGCCGUUCUGGUCGGGCAGCAGACAGGUGAAUGAGACCGGGCCGUACAGCAAGUUCAGGACGGAGCUGAGCGACGUCUGGUCCAUCUCCAGCAUCAGCGUCCACAGAGAGGCUCAGAACUCGCCCGUCACUCCCAGCCUGCCCACCAUCAGCGAGGAGCCGCCCGUCUGAAGCCCCCCGACCGAGAUCUGCAUCAUCACACGUCCAUUCAGCGCUUCAGAGCGAUGCAGACAGCAAUCUGAGCUUCAAACCAGCGGCGGAAGAUGCUUUUCAUAAUCUAGUCUGGACGAGGGUCAAACUAGAACAUGACUUUAUGAACACUGAUAUUAAAUGACCCUCUAUU
ensembl:lncRNA